rnacentral:rRNA from 1 species
UACGAAGGGAGCGAGCGUUGUUCGGAAUCACUGGGCUUAAAGCGUGCGUAGGUGGAUUGGUAAGUAAGGAGUGAAAUCCCAGGGCUCAACCCUGGAACUGCCUUUGAUACUGUCAAUCUGGAGUAUGGAAGAGGUGAGUGGAAUUCCGAGUGUAGAGGUGAAAUUCGUAGAUAUUCGGAGGAACACCAGUGGCGAAGGCGGCUCACUGGUCCAUUACUGACGCUGAGGUGCGAAAGCGUGGGGAGCAAACAGG